rnacentral:rRNA from 1 species
UCGCACCUACCGAUUGAAUGAUCCGGUGAAGCCUCGGGAUUGUGACUGGCUUUGCUAUGGCGCAAGAACUUGUCUAAACCUUACCAUUUAGAGGAAGGUG